UGGGGGCUGCUGCGCACACCGCAGGGAAGGGAACGACGAACGGGGCUUGGGCGGCCCUUGCCGCCUGCCGUGCUGUGCGGGAGCCCCGCUGGGCCCCGGGUGGGCGUUGCUGGCGGGUGGCCGGGCGGCCUCCUCCGCUGCUCUGCCCGGUGAGACUUGGAGGAAGCCGGCAGAGGCCCGGGCGGUCCCGCGGGUUUCAGCACAAAGCAGCUCCGCUGUGCCGGGACGGGCAGCUCGGGAAACGGGGACAUUCGCGGCCGGGACGGGAGGAGCCGCCCCAGGGGCGCCGAGCAGCGCUGCGGCUUGGUGUGCAGCGCUGCGGCUUGGUGUGCAGCGCCGAGCCUUGGUGUGCAGCGCCGAGCCUUGGUGUGCAGCGCUCGGCUUGGUGUGCAGCGCCGAGCCUUGGUGUGCAGCGCCGAGCCUUGGUGUGCAGCGCGGAGCCCGGCCCACAGCAGGUUCACACGGCUCCGUGCCGUGCAGCAGCGGGUGCCGGGUGCCGCUGAGCCGGUAACGCUUGGGGAGGUCCCGCCGUCUGUGGGCUGGAGGCGGCCGUGGCUGCGGUGCUGAAGGCCGGUCCGGAGCGGCACUGACAGCGGCGCGCUUACUUCUUUCUGAACGUAAGGCGCCGCUGCCGAUCAGUUCUCAGCGCUGCACGUUACACAGGUGACGUUCCUGUCAGCUGCAGCUUCAGCGGAGCAAGCACGGCCCCCUGGGAAGGUACUCGAGUUGGUCGCAAUCCCGCCGAAGCGUCCCGCUACCUUCGUCCCGUUCACGCUCGAGCAGCGCCGUGCAGCGGCCACAACGAGGUGCUCGGGCACACGGCGCCACCCCGCGGGCUGCGGCUCCUCCUCGUGCUGUCAGCACGGCCGGGAGCGGCGGUGCUGCUUGGUGUUACAAGGUUCCUCCGUCUGCAGAGAGUUCAUUUAUGAGGUGAUGGCGUUCAUACGGCGGGCUGUGCAGCAGGUGCGGGCAGGCGGACCUUAGUUACGUUGUAUCUGCGCAGACAGGCUCCGUGAAGGUCUGUGCUCAGCGUGGGGUCUGACCAACGCGCGGUCUGUCCUUCUGAAAGGACGGAUUUUCCCCCAUUCUAUACCAGCACCAAAAAUAACCUUUUGAACAGGGAGACACACAUGAUCCAAUUGCCUCAUGGUCGUGGUAUCCUGGUGGGAUGUGGAGACCUGCUCAGGUCCUGACUGAGCCAGACAGAAUGCAGUCUUGACAGCUAGGCUGGGGUUAUUCUGGUGUGGAAGAUCGGCUGUCCGUGGCUGGAGCUGCUCCAUGGCAUAUAACCGAUUAAAUACUCAUCAAGCUAAAAAGAAAGACAGCUUAGCACUGUCUGGCCAGGGCACUUGCAUGAAUUCAGCUCCCAGCUCUAAAUCAAGCAAGGCAAAGACUUGGGCUCUGCAAAGCUCGGCUGCCUGCUCAGACCAACAAGUUAUUUAUUUUCUGUCCCAGACAACUCCAUUUUCUUGCCUACACCCACUGCUGGAGCUCAGGAAAUGUUUCCAAUAGCAAUUUUGUCAAAACUGGUAUAUUACCAGGAAAAACUUUGGCUCCGGUUAAAAAAAUUCCUGACCAUCUAUAAUUAGAAUUUCUGACAGAAUUCCCAAUAUAGUUUGACUUACCCUUUUUGCAUAAAAUUGCUUUUCUCUGAGUGAACCUGGUUCAGAUAAAAAUAGUGCGUCCAUUCGAUGGCUUUUAUUCUUGUCUCAUCAGCCUGAAUAAUACCCAUAUGUUUCUGAAGAUUUGCAACAUUUUAAAAAAGAAACUUGCACAAAAAAAGUCAUAUGCAGAUUCUUAGUAUAAUUUUUUUCUUUGCUAUAAGUAGAAACGACUGAAUAGCAGAGAUAGGAACUGCCAUUCUGUGUCUCAGAAGCUCUGGACAGGAUUACAGCUUUAUUGAGCACAGGGUGUAUGUACUACUCCAUGUCUUACUCUUCUUGUUAGUCUUUGCAGACCAAGGAAGUAGUUAGCUAAAGCAUUAAGCACUCUUGACUUUACUUUAGGCCUUCAAAUCCUUUAGCAUGUCAGUCAACAACUGAUAAGAUUGGCAAGCACUUUUUUGUUUAAAUAAAUAUUUACAUUAAACUUCAAUUUAACAUUGCUAGACAUACUCAGAGGUAUUUGAAGCUGUUUCCAGGAAUCUCGCUGUUAACUAAUAAACACAGGAGAGAAAGCUUUUAAGUAUUUGUUCAAUGGGCAUGCUUGAAAGUAUGUCUUUUCUCCAAUACGUGUUUUCAUCUGGUCACUGAAGACUCAACUGUAAUAUCCUAUUGUAUUUAGAAACUUUCCAGCGAUAAAUGGGGAGAGAAAAAUCGUUUCCAAAUAUCCAACAUAAAAGGAAAAGUGAAACCUGUACAACAAGCAUGAUUCAUCAGUCAUUUUCUCUUCGAGAACUUUAUUUGAAAUGCUUCAGUAAGUGGAAGACAGUCAAGAAUAUCCUUACUGGCAAAGUAAGAAACAGUGGGCAAAAUUCCACCCAACAUAUUGUUAAAAUACAGUUUCUUAUUAGCAACAAGAGCCUAUGGUAUGCUGCAGCACAAAUUUUCUGAUAUGCUGGAUGAUAAAAUGAAUCACAUUUCGUACAUAAAAUCCCUUGUUCAGAACAGUCCAGGAGUCUCACCAUUUCUCAGUAUCUUGGACCAGCAGCUGGUAAUCAGGCAAGUGAGUCCAUGAUGAGCUUAGUCAAUAUUAUAGCUUAAGUGUUUGUGACUGCCUCCUGUUCUUUCUUUUUAAAUAUAUGAGACUAUGGUUUUAACUGUUGCUUCCAUAGAGAAUGGUGAUGGGACUGCUGGUAUCUGGCUUGCACCAUUCUUGACUGGGCAUUAUACUUCAGUAGCUUAUAGAAACAUAAGCUGCCCUGAGUCUGAAGUGUUGUGCAACUACCAUCACACUUGAUGACUUGAUGGCUGAUGAAGACGGCUGCUACUGGAAUAUCUAUUGCCUGCUGGGAUAGCUUUGCAGGUGAUCUGUGGGCCCUUCACAUAGAUUAUAGAAAUGUUUAUAGCAAAGCAGUGAUUGCAGACUACAGCAAUGAUUAUAGCUUAGUAUGUACUAUGACUUAAGACAUGAGACUUCAUAUGUGAUAUUCAUUCCCCUGAUGGAGAAAAAGCCAUUAAACCUGAAACUUUUUUAUCGUUUGUAACUAUGAAUUGCUCAUUCUAUGAAACUGAAAACUGCUAUUCUGCUUAUGAAAAGACUAGUCAUAACAAUGCAUUCCUCAAGUUGAUUGUUAGAUGUAUGUUAUUCUAGCAUUAGAAAUCUUACUGCUUGUUUCUGUCAUGUAGCUUGUACUGAAUUGGAGGAAUUUACAUCCUGAACCAUUCCUGAUCUGGUAAAUUCCAUGUAAGGAAUUAGGAGAUACUCCUUGCCACUGCUUUGCCAGGGCUGGGAAAAACUGGUGUCGGGCUGUUAGAACAAAUCUGUCAGACAUCUCAUUUGUUUGCUUGUCUCCUCACUAUGGCUACCUCCUACCUCAAAUUGGAUUAAAAGGCUCCUCCAGAGUAGGACAGUGUGCUGCUCCUGUCUCUGGAUAAGUGAGUAGGGUAACAUUAUCAAACCGUAUGGUUUCCCAUUAUGUUGUAUGUAAUGUCCACCACCGUUUAAAUAUGUUAACAGCAGUAAGAGCUUGUACAUCAUUUAGGGUUUCUAAUUUAGAAAUAUCUGUAAGAUACAAUAAUUUUUGAUGGAAUAAUUUAAUUAAAACUCGAUUGAGUAGCUCUUGAUCUGUGAGGUAGAUGAAACACUUGCUAAAAUACUUCGGUUGACCACAUAGUUGAGGAAAAAAAAUCAUUGUAACCUUACAUUCAUCUGUGCUAAAUGUCCUAUGCUUUACCUGUGCUUUUAGGGGAGGAAAGCUAGUAAUGAGCAUAAGGUCUUUUAUUUUCAGUCCUCUAUACUAAAAUUUUCAAGGAGUGCUUAAAGAUGAUCGUCCUGCUGAGGUCCAGGCUCUCUCACUGAGAGAGCAUUCCUUUGUAAAAAGUCAAAAUUCAGAUUGCUAACAGGAAGAGAGGUGUUCAGGGCAAUACCAGUCACUCCUGUGCAAGGGAGGUAGAAGCUGAUGUGCCUGACACUCUGUUUUACCAUUUGCCACGAAAAAAAAAAAAAAAGGGCGCAUAUCAAAGUGUCUUUUCAAUUGGAAAAUAGAGCCCUCUUGAGCUGAGCUGUUCUUGAUGGCCCUUUAAACCGAAACUCAUAGCAAUGAAUUUGUUUUCAAGUAAGGCCUUGAGGCUCCUUCUACCCAGCAAUGCACAUUUUGACAAGAAUGUCUUCAUUUAAAUAUGAAGAGCCUUGCCAAAGGGAAGACGGUAGACCAUCCUUUCCUAGGAUGCUCUUCCCUGGGAGCAGUUGUAUAUUGUGCUGUCUGAGGUACUUAUAAUCGCCUGAGCCACUUUAUUUAUAUAAGAACCUGUGGACCCGACCAACCUGAAUAUUUUAGUAUAAGAUUUGGAAAUAAAAGCAGAGAUCUCAGUUGGUGUGAGCUUGCAGCCCUCCAGGAGGUUCUGGGCAGCUUUCUCUGUGAUAGAAAAAACACCAGUGAGGCAGGGUAGAGAUCAGAAGACAUGAAUGUGGUGACUGUCUGCACAGGGCUCACUCGAAACUUGGAAGGGGUGGACAGUGGGAGGAGUGUGAUUAAUUCUCUCAAAUAAACCUGAGCAUCUUAACCUAUGCAAGGUUAUUAAAAUGGGUAUUUACGUCAACUUUUUCAGGCAAAUAGAUGGAGCUGAUCCCAUCCUCGUUAAGACCGAAGUAGAAAGUGCAGCCAACAUAAGGAGAGAAAUCAGAUGAGAGCUUUUUUUUUUUUUUCUUUCAAAGAUAGGGUAUCUUUUUUCCACUCCAUCUCUUUCCAAUUUUCUAAGUCAAGAGAUACCAAGAUUAGUCCAGUAGGUGUAAAAGUUUGUUUAAAGGGAGAAUUUUCCAGCUGUAUAUACAGUAAUUUUUCUAUACAUAUGUACAAUGAUUUUUCUACACACACACACACACAUAUAUAUUCUUUUUCUCUUAUUUUCUUAUUUCCAGAUAAAGUGGUUCAUAAGAUCUCAAUGAUCUGAACAAUCUGUAAGACUCAUGGAGAACAAAGUUGGGACAAGUUGUACAAUGUGUGGAAAUGUAUGUGGAAAAUACUGAAAAAUCAGGAUGAAGAAUGUGGAAUUGACCUGCAAGGACUGGCAAUUAGUAUACUGAGCACUGCAGCAUUUUGCAGUCUGGCACACAGCUCUAAGAAUGACAGCCUCCUGCAGAGCUGGGCACCUUGAUCUAAGAACCUAGGUGGCUCGUUUAGUUUCAGAGCUGGAGGAGUGUUACAGUGCUUGUAUGAGUGUCCCAGUCUGCUCAUUUAGCACCUGCUGAAAUAUGUGGUGAUUCUCAUUUAUUGCUACACUUUGUAUAAAAGCAUGAACACAUACACCAAUGUCAGAGAUUGUAAAAUUGGACUGUGAAAGGAGCAUGGAUUUAUUUUGAAUGGAAAGAAUUGGACUUUCCAUAUUCCUGGACUGUAUAACUGGAAAAGAUUUAUUAAAGACUCUAGAGUGCACACUGCUUUGGACAGAGAUUAUGGCUUUGUCUAAUUUAGAUGACUUUUUGGCAUUCUUUCUACCAUAGUGUCUUGCAACAGUUUAUAAAUUGAACUAUCUUUAAUAGUUACUCUCCUGCUAACUAUUUGGUACCUCCCCAAAAAUGCAAAGAUACUAUGAAUGCAGUAGAGUAUUGUAUGACUACGAUAAGAACAUACAUUUCUUUCCCUAUCUCACAAGAACUUCAAAAUUCAUUUUCAUAUGAUUAUCACAACAUUAGAGCUCUUUGGUUAGGAAAGACAGCAUGAAGGAGGUUAUUAAGGCCCCCUAAAAUAGUCCAGCAUUUCAUUUUUACAUCUUAUUUAGGUUUGGUUGGCUCUGUGUGAAGCUGAUUUUGUACAGCAGUGACAGCCCAGACCUCCACACAUAUCCCUAGCCAGAUGGCUCUUUUGGUGUGAUUGUGCUAAAGUAACCUUCAGCUUCCUCAGUACUAAGGAAUCUAAGUUGCUGAAUUAAUAAGUAUUUCCCAGUAGUUUCCACCAGAGUCCACUGGUGAUCAAAGGCAUCCACUGUAAUGGUGAGCUUCACACUGGAGCAGUUGAGAAUCAUCCAUAUGUUGGGCUUAGAUGCAUUGAAAUCACACACAAAAAAAAAGAAAACAUUUUUAUUACUAAGAAAUCAAAAGAUUACAUUUCUAGUUACAAGUUUUAGGGCACAGUCUGUGAACUGAAAUACGAACUCAGCUUAGUGUGCUUCUGAACCUUUUGUAGCCAUUAAGGGAUUAUUUGCAUCAAAAGACGAGUUAUAGUGAAAGAAGAUGAGAUUUUUCUCAAAAACUUUCAAGGAGCUUUCUUGAUCCAAGUAUUAUGUUUGGUUUUUUUUUAUGGUAUUAUGAGUUCCCUUACAAUCUUUGCAAUUAAGAAUAUAUUAAGAGUUUUGUCAAGAAAAAAUGAGUAUUCAAAACAAAUGGAGCAACAGCUGAAGAAAUCCACGAGCUUGAAGAAAAUUCUUGACAUUUAUUUUUAGCUCACUGCACCCACAAUUGCAAUCAUCUAUAAAUCUACAUCAUUUCAUCCACAGGCUAGGUUAUCAGGCAAUAAAUCCAGUAAGUUCUUACAUAAUCCAUUGCAUGAGCAGUUUUCUGUAUAGCUUCAAACAUAACACAACUCUUCCAGUGCUGCCAAUCUGUAUAAAGUUCAGCUACCAGUAAGUCCCUACCACUAUCAAAGCACUAACAGGGUAUUUACAAGGGCAGUGAGCACAGGUGCAGAUAUCCCACCUGAAAAUAGGUAUCUGCACAUACAACCAGACCUAGCUGGCGUUGGCUGAGAGAUCAGUGAGGCUACAAGACACUUCGGUAUAACAAAGCAUUAGUUACUUUACAAUGCAAGGAUCGGCAUUAAUCAUUUAACUGUGUAAUGUCUCACCUUCAACUGGUACAAACUUCAUAUAGUGCCCAAGUACCUUUCAGUAAUUGAACAUAAAUGAGGUACUUUUCACAUAUUUCCAUCCACGAAGGACUGCUUAUUGUCCUUCUUCCCCUAGCCUAGGCUUAUACCUCCUUAGGAAAAUACCGAGUUGGAUUCGGUGACCCUUUGGGUCCUGUCCGACUCAGCAUAUUCUGUGAUGCCAUUAAAUACCUGUUGUUUUAGCCUGAUAUUUCUACUGAACGUCUACACACUGAAUUUUUAUUUCUCAUUUUGGAACAUUUGUCCACAGAUACAACGUCUGACUUGCAGAGGUGAGAAACAGAACUGGGAUUUGCUGUGAAUAGGGCUGGGGGAGGGACCGGGGCUAACCUUUGCUCUUGUUUUGCACCAGAUUUUCGGCUUUGCACAUGAAUGGAUACUCUUCUAUUGAGAUCUUUCUUUAGGGGGAUGAAACAAAUUAACGGGAAAAGAAUACCGGUGAAUUCUCUCUGCGUGCUAUCUCCGACAAGUUUUUUUUUUUUUUUCCUGAGACUUCAUGGUAAAAAAAAAGAAACGCAGAAUCCUGAAAUGUCUCACGCAAAACUUUCAGAAUAGGCAGAGCAUCCCGGCGCUCCUGACGCUCAGCUCCACAGUAAAACCGGACACCAAUCUGUUACCAGCUACCAAAGUUUCUUACCAAAGACGCGGUGUAAAAUAAGUUGUGAAAAUUCUUCUGAAGUCCAUCUGCCUUUCAGAAAAUGAAACAUCUUCUUGAUUGUUUAAUAGCUGCUCUCUAAGAAAAUAUAGAGGUUGGGUUUUUC